UACGUAGGGUGCAAGCGUUGUCCGGAAUUAUUGGGCGUAAAGAGCUCGUAGGCGGUCUGUCGCGUCGGCUGUGAAAACCCGAGGCUCAACCUCGGGCCUGCAGUCGAUACGGGCAAACUAGAGUACUGCAGGGGAGACUGGAAUUCCUGGUGUAGCGGUGAAAUGCGCAGAUAUCAGGAAGAACACCCGUGGCGAAGGCGGCUCUCUGGGCCGAUACUGACGCUGAGGAGCGAAAGCGUGGGGAGCGAACAGG
rnacentral:rRNA from 1 species